rnacentral:rRNA from 1 species
UAACGUAGGGUGCAAGGCGUUGUCCGGAAUUAUUGGGCGUAAAGAGCUUGUAGGCGGUUUGUUCGCGUCUGCUGUAGCAAAUUUCGGGGCUCAACCCCGAACUUGCAGUGGGUACGGGCAGACUAGAGUGUGGUAGGGGGAGACGUGGAAUUCCUGGUGUAGCGGUGAAAUGCGCAGAUAUCAGGAGGAACACCGAUGGCGAAGGCAGGUCUCUCGGGCCAUAACUGACGCUGAGAAGCGAAAGCAUGGGGAGCGAACAGG